rnacentral:rRNA from 1 species
CAGUCGAGCGAAUCUUGAGGUGCUUGCACCUCUUGAUUAGCGGCGGACGGGUGAGUAACACGUGGGCAACCUGCCUGUAAGACUGGGAUAACAUCGGGAAACCGAUGCUAAUACCGGAUAAUCCUUUUCCUCUCAUGAGGAAAAGCUGAAAGUCGGUUUCGGCUGACACUUACAGAUGGGCCCGCGGCGCAUUAGCUAGUUGGUGAGGUAACGGCUCACCAAGGCGACGAUGCGUAGCCGACCUGAGAGGGUGAUCGGCCACACUGGGACUGAGACACGGCCCAGACUCCUACGGGAGGCAGCAGUAGGGAAUCUUCCGCAAUGGACGAAAGUCUGACGGAGCAACGCCGCGUGAACGAUGAAGGCCUUCGGGUCGUAAAGUUCUGUUGUUAGGGAAGAACAAGUACCGGAGUAACUGCCGGUACCUUGACGGUACCUAACCAGAAAGCCACGGCUAACUACGUGCCAGCAGCCGCGGUAAUACGUAGGUGGCAAGCGUUGUCCGGAAUUAUUGGGCGUAAAGCGCGCGCAGGCGGUCCUUUAAGUCUGAUGUGAAAGCCCACGGCUCAACCGUGGAGGGUCAUUGGAAACUGGGGGACUUGAGUGCAGAAGAGGAAAGCGGAAUUCCACGUGUAGCGGUGAAAUGCGUAGAGAUGUGGAGGAACACCAGUGGCGAAGGCGGCUUUCUGGUCUGUAACUGACGCUGAGGCGCGAAAGC